rnacentral:rRNA from 1 species
GUGGGGAAUAUUGGGCAAUGGGCGAAAGCCUGACCCAGCAACGCCGCGUGAAGGAAGAAGGUUUUCGGAUUGUAAGCUUCUGUCCUCAGGGAAGAAGGAAGUGACGGUACCUGAGGAGGAAGCCCCGGCUAACUACGUGCCAGCAGCCGCGGUAAUACGUAGGGGGCGAGCGUUGUCCGGAAUGACUGGGCGUAAAGGGCGCGUAGACGGCUGUCUAAGUCUGGAGUGAAAGUCCUGUUUUCAAGGCGGGAAUUGCUUUGGAGACUGGAUGGCUUGAGUGCGGAAGAGGUAAGUGGAAUUCCCAGUGUAGCGGUGAAAUGCGUAGAGAUUGGGAGGAACACCAGUGGCGAAGGCGACUUACUGGGCCGUAACUGACGUUGAAGCGCGAAAGCGUGGGGAGCGAACAGGAUUAGAAACCCUAGUAGUCC